rnacentral:rRNA from 1 species
UGGCGGGNCCUAACAUGCAAGNUCGAACGAGGUAGCAAUACCUAGNUGGCAGACGGGUGUAGUAACACGCCCNUUNACCGUUCCCUUUAGUGGGGGAUAACUAGCCGAAAGGUUNGCUUAAUACCGCAUACAAUCGGGUUCCGGCAUCGGAGUUCGAUAAAAGGAGCAAUCCGCUUAAGGACGGGACCGCGUCCCAUUAGUUAGUUGGUGGGGUAACGGCCUACCAAGACUCCGAUGGGUAGCUGGUUUGAGAGAGCGACCAGCCACACUGGGACUGAGAAACGGCCCAGACUCCUACGGGAGGCAGCAGUGAGGAAUUUUCCGCAAUGGGCGUAAGCCUGACGGAGCGACGCCGCGUGUGGGAAGAAGGCCUUCGGGUCGUAAACCACUGUCGAGGGGGAAGAUAUUGACGGUACCCCUGGAGGAAGCCCCGGCUAACUACGUGCCAGCAGCCGCGGUAAGACGUAGGGGGCAAGCGUUAUUCGGAAUUAUUGGGCGUAAAGCGCUCGUAGGCGGGACUGGAAGUCAGCGAGGAAAAACCUGGGCUCAACUCAGGGCACUGCGUGGAUACUCUAGUUCUUGAGGUAAUCAGAGGGUGAUGGAAUUCCCGGUGUAGCGGUGAAAUGCGUAGAUNUCGGGAGGAACACCAGUGGCGAANGCGAUCACCUGGGGUUAUUCUGACGCUGAGGAGCGAAAGCUAGGGGAGCAAACGGAUUAGAUACCCCGGUAGUCCUAGCCGUAAACCGAUGGAUACUAAGGUGUAUUUGGGUAUUCGACUCCAUAUGUGCCGUUAGUUAACAACANUAAUAUUCCCGCCUGGGGAAGUACGGNCCCCAAGGUUUAAACUUCAAAGGAAUUUAACGGGG